CCUACGGGUGGCAGCAGUGAGGAAUAUUGCUCAAUGGGCUUAAGCCUGAUCCAGCCAAGCCGCGUGAGGGAAGACUGCUCUAUGGGUUGUAAACCCCUUUAGUCAGGGAGCAACGCCGGCUACGUGUAGCCGGACUGAGAGUACCUGAAGAAACAGCAUCGGCUAACUCCGUGCCAGCAGCCGCGGUAAUACGGAGGAUGCGAGCGUUAUCCGGAUUUAUUGGGUUUAAGGGGUGCGUAGGCGGAAUGCCAAGUCAGCGGUAAAAUCGCGGGGCUCAACCUCGCUCCGCCGUUGAAACUGGCGUUCUUGAGUGGGCGAGAAGUAUGCGGAAUGCGUGGUGUAGCGGUGAAAUGCAUAGAUAUCACGCAGAACUCCGAUUGCGAAGGCAGCAUACCGGCGCCCAACUGACGCUGAAGCACGAAAGCGUGGGGAUCGAACAGGAUUAGAUACCCUUGUAGUC
rnacentral:rRNA from 1 species